UCUGACCUGUUAGUAGCAUGGUGGGCCACAGCACUGUGCUGUGCUGUGAGCCUGGUCUGUCUCCAUCUAAGUUUCUUUAAUGAGAAAACAAAUAAAAUAUUCAAAAAAGAAAUUUUUUUUUUUUUUUUUUGAGACAGAGUCUCGCUCUGUCGCCCAGGCUGGAGUGCAGUGGCGCGAUCUCGGCUCACUGCAAGCUCCGCCUCCCGCGUUCACGUCGUUCUCCACCUCAGCCUCCCGAGUAGCUGGGACUACAUGCGCCCGCCAUCACACCAGGCUAAUUUUUUGUAUUUUUAGUAGAGACGGGGUUUCACCGUGUUAGCCAGGAUGGUCUCGAUCUCCUGACCUCGUGAUCCACCCGCCUCAGCCUCCCAAAGUGCUGGGAUUACAGGCGUGAGCUACUGCGCCCGGCCUAAAAUAUAUAUUAUGUGUAUAUACAUAGAUUUUUAAUUUAAUAAUAUUCCAUUGCUUAGAUGUACCACAGUUCAUUCAUCAGUUGAAAGGCCUUUGAGAUGCUCCCUCUUUGGGCAAUUAUGAAUAAUGUCACAAUCAACAUUUGCAUGCAGAUUUUGUGUGAACAUAAGAGUAAUUUCUCUUGGACUGGCAUGCCUGCUUUGUAUGGACAACUUUGUGUAGAAUUGAUAGUAUUAUUCCUUAAAUAUUUUGCAAAUUCAAGAAUGAAGUUAUCCAGAUUUUGAGUUACAAGACUUGUGAAAAGCAUGAAAUUUUACCCUACUUGCAGAUUCUUGAGAUGAAAGCUUACAUAAUUUGAGACCUUUCUUAUCUGAUGUGAAGAUUUAAUAUCGUAAAUUUCUAAGCAUUGCUUUAGCUGCAUUCAAAAAAUUUGUUACAUGUUUUUAUAUUCAUUCAGUUUAAAAUGUUUUAA
rnacentral:lncRNA from 10 species